rnacentral:rRNA from 1 species
GACGUAGGGGGCCAGCGUUGUCCGGAGUUACUGGGCGUAAAGGGCAUGCAGGCGGUCCGACACGUUUUGUGUGACAGCGGGUGGCUUAACUACCCGAGGAUGCGAAAGACGGUUGGACUUGAGGACUCGAGAGGGACACGGAAUUCCGGGUGGAGUGGUGAAAUGCGUAGAGAUCCGGAGGAACACCGAAGGCGAAGGCAGUGUCCUGGCGAGUGACUGACGCUGAGGUGCGAAAGCCAGGGGAGCGAACGGG